rnacentral:rRNA from 1 species
CCUACGGGUGGCAGCAGUGAGGAAUAUUGGUCAAUGGGAGAGAUCCUGAACCAGCCAAGCCGCGUGAGGGAAGACGGCUCUAUGAGUUGUAAACUGCUUUUGUACGAGGGUAAACGCAGAUACGCGUAUCUGUCUGAAAGUAUCGUACGAAUAAGGAUCGGCUAACUCCGUGCCAGCAGCCGCGGUAAUACGGAGGAUUCAAGCGUUAUCCGGAUUUAUUGGGUUUAAAGGGUGCGUAGGCGGUCGGAUAAGUUAGAGGUGAAAUCCCGAGGCUCAACUUCGGCAUUGCCUCUGAUACUGUUCGGCUAGAGAGUAGUUGUGGUAGGCGGAAUGUAUGGUGUAGCGGUGAAAUGCUUAGAGAUCAUACAGAACACCGAUUGCGAAGGCAGCUUACCAAGCUACUUCUGACGUUGAGGCACGAAAGCGUGGGGAGCGAACAGGAUUAGAUACCCCAGUAGUC